UGUCUACCGCUUGUUUUUGUGUGCUGCCUGAUUUUUUAGAAUGGGUGUUUUGACUGAGUUUUUGAUAGGACACCUAGGAAUAUUAUAGAAGAAAGUGGGGCCGUAAAUAUGGGAGAAAAUGGAAGUUAGUUACUGACAGAGUUAGAUUCUAGUAGAGUAUGUUAGAGGAUGAGAAUAUACUGUGAGUAGAUAGAGGGGAAGGGUCAUUGAGAAUUAUUGUUAACGAGGUGGUUAGGAGAGAAUAUCUGUCUGGUAUUAGAGUCUCUAACUUUGAAAUUGUAGAGCUUCUAUGCUCAUCAUUUACAUUGAAUAAUACACAUAUUUCAUCAUUCUGUUUUUGUGACUUCUAUCAUUGGUCCUCAUGGCAUACCCAUGUAUCUCAUUUUCAUAUUGCAACAAGGGUAUCAAUAUCCAUUUAGUUUUAGUGGUAGUGUGUGCUGUUUCAUUCUGCACAAUUCCCACAAGAGUAUGUCUCAUAUUGUGUCGAUAUCAAAUAGUCUAUGUAGAAUAUAGUUAAGCUGCAACCUGCAAUUGUGCUCAUGUCGCAUUACUACAUCAGUUAUGCUUGAAGUAUGUAAAUAAGUUCAAGAAACACAUUUGUAGAAACAGUUUUAUGUCAAUACUAGAUGUAUCACUGAGUAAAAGAUUUACCAAAUAGGUUAGAAGUUUUUUGAAUUUUGUUUUAUAGGAAAAGAGGUUUGAAGUUUAUAAAUUUAUAAAUAUUUAUGUUGGCAUUGGCAUACAUCUGUGGUGUAUGGCAGGUAGCUUCAUCAUUUUGCUUAAGAAAUAGGUGACAAAGUUGUGUUAUAGGUAUUAUGUUAGAUCAUUGAAUAUUUGUAGUAAAGCAUCGCUACAAAACGUAGAGCCAGACCAGUAUCCUCGGAUGUUGCUUUGGUUUCAAAAAUGGUAGCCGAGCAAUGUUUGUAUUUACAUGUAAAUGUCUCCAAAACGAGUGAUGAGUGAGGGUAUACAUUAUGUAAUGUAGUUGUUGUAAGCUUUUUUUGUAAUCAAACACCCAUUGUAGUUUUGAUAUCAGUAAUUUUAGUUUUUUGGAUGGUGUGAUUUAUAUGUCAUUCGAUAUCAAAAGGUAAUCAUACAUUGUGAUUUAGAGAGUCAGUUUAUCUCAUAGCUGCCUGAAAUGAAAGCUGAGGUUUAUCAUAUUGUCUUCAAUAUAUUAGUGUAUCAUGAUAUUUAUGAGGAGUCCAACAAGUUUAUGGACUGGCGAUAUAUAAUGUAACUUUGAGCACAACACUACAUUUUUUUUUGUGUGAAGAUAA